GAUUAUGGCUCAGGAUGAACGCUGGCGGCGUGCUUAACACAUGCAAGUCGAACGAAGCACUUUAAUUGAUUUCUUCGGAAUGAAGUUUUUGUGACUGAGUGGCGGACGGGUGAGUAACGCGUGGGUAACCUGCCUCAUACAGGGGGAUAACAGUUGGAAACGACUGCUAAUACCGCAUAAGCGCACAGUGCCGCAUGGCACAGUGUGAAAAACUCCGGUGGUAUGAGAUGGACCCGCG
rnacentral:rRNA from 1 species